rnacentral:rRNA from 1 species
CACGGGGGGGAGCAAGCGUUGUUCGGAAUCACUGGGCGUAAAGGGCGUGUAGGCGGUUUGGUAAGUGGGAUGUGAAAUGCCUCGGCUCACCCGAGGACCGGCAUCCCAAACUGCCAAGCUUGAGUAUGGGAGAGGAUGUGGGAAUUCCUGGUGUAGCGGUGGAAUGCGUAGAGAUCUCCAAGAACACCUAUUGCGAAGGCAGCCAGCUGGGACCAUAUUGACGCUGAGGCUCGAAAGCAUGGGGAGCAAACAGG